UGGAUGGAAUCUAUGAUGGGGAACAAAUUGAUACAAUUGACUUCAUAGAUCCAAUUUAUGAUUUGCCAUGAGACUCAUGAGUCUAGCUGAAGAUUUUAAACUGAGCACUUAUUGAGAGAUAACUCAAUUUUUUAGGAGUAGUUUUGAAAUAAGUCUGAUCGAAGAUAUCAACCCAGCUUCUGCUUUUGAAUUUUCAUUCCAGUUGUUUAGAUUUAUCAAGUUCAUUUUGAGUAUUAUUUUAGGAACCCUACCCCAUUGAAGGAUAUCAGCCAC
rnacentral:lncRNA from 1 species